AUGAAUAGAUUGACGUCAGCAAUUCAGGUCAUCACUAUAGAGACCGGUGGUGUGCUUUCAGGCAAGGUUGUGGGUUCGCCGAUUUUAAUGAAGAGACUGCGAUCAAGUAGCACCUACUUUACUAGGGAGCUGCAAUCAAUUUCCACCUAUGGGUGAUCGAUUUAAAGAAAAUGAGUUUAUUUACUCAAUGUUUAUACACAAGAUUUUCACUCUUCUGUUUCAAAUAAUUCAAACCGGUGGUGCUUUACGAUCCCGCACUUCUUCACACCCCUACAACCUGGAACCUAAUGGAAUCGACCAUCACGGCGGCUCAAUCGGUAGUUCGGAUCUCCGGCAACUUCCAAAUAUGGUGAGGAGUUCCUUUCGUAAGCAAGCCGAGUCUUAUUACUUCCGACUAAUUUGCAUGACAUUGCAACGUCAUCGAGUAUAUGCCACGCCUGGAUAAACAAUCCGAAGAUCAACGAACAGGUCCGACUGGGCUUCGGUUCCUGGGAAUCGCUAGGCACAACUGAAUAGUAAACAGAGGCAGCUUUGAUACUACAAGUUCACGUGGCGAGAGUUUGCAUUAACCCCCAUUAUGCUAAGUGUAUUCAAUUCCUGGUAAAAAAAACCUUGCCUUUUUCUGUAAGCGUGCUGCGAUAUGGUGGUCGUUGUUUUCAGUGCACAGGACGAACACUGCCAGUGUAUUCCUGUUACUACAGUUACACAAUUCUCGUGACCUGAAAUACCAUCUGGUCUCCUCUGACAUGAUUUUCGUGGACCUGUUUUUGGGGGGCAUUGCAGCCAGUGCUUCUGAGGCUGCAAAUGGCGUCCCGGUGGAUAAUCAGGAUUCGGGCCGGCAUGAUUCACAGCAAAGAUAGUCUAAGCACUGCU